GGGCCCAUAGUAAAGUGGUAUUACGCGUCCAUGGCAUGGACGAGGGCCGGGUCCGAUUCCCGGUGGGUCCA
rnacentral:tRNA from 1 species